UCCGGUGUCAAGACGCGGAGGGGACACACCCGUACCCAUCCCGAACACGACGGUUAAGCCCUUUGCGGCCGAAGGUACUAUGCUGGUGACGGCAUGGGAGAACAGGUGGGCGCCGGAU
rnacentral:rRNA from 1 species